GACAGAGGGUGCAAACGUUGUUCGGAAUUACUGGGCGUAAAGCGCGUGUAGGCGGCCAUCUAAGUCGGGCGUGAAAUCCCACGGCUCAACCGUGGAAGUGCACUCGAAACUGGAUGGCUAGAGUCCUGGAGAGGAAGGUGGAAUGCUUGGUGUAGAGGUGAAAUUCGUAGAUAUCAAGCGGAACACCGGUGGCGAAGGCGGCCUUCUGGACAGUGACUGACGCUGAGACGCGAAAGCGUGGGGAGCAAACAGGG
rnacentral:rRNA from 1 species